CCCUGAUGUAUCUACGUUCCUCCUGAUCUGGUGAAAUGUUGCUAGACAAUCUUCCAGAUUGGAAGACAAGAACUAAAUUUUGCCUGGUGGUCCAGCCUGCAGAAUCAGCUGUGUGAGAUGUUCCAUGGGGGUUUGCACCUCAUCCUAAUCAUCUGAGCUGUCCAUGUGUCCUGUUAGAGUCACUGUCACCCUGAUGUACCUAUGUUCCUCUCGAUCUGGUACAAAUGUUGCUAGAUAAUCUUCA